rnacentral:pre_miRNA from 1 species
CUGACAGAAGAGAGUGAGCACACAUGGUGACUUUCUUGCAUGCUGAAUGAAUGAGAUCAGAGAGAGGAAUGAUUCAUGCUUGAAGCUAUGUGUGCUCACUUCUCUCUCUGUCAG